UUAACAUGCAGUCGACGGCAGCACGGGGGUAACCCUGGUGGCGAGUGGCGAACGGGUGAGUAAUACAUCGGAACGUGUCCUGUAGUGGGGGAUAGCCCGGCGAAAGCCGGAUUAAUACCGCAUACGCUCUACGGAGGAAAGGGGGGGAUCUUAGGACCUCUCGCUACAGGGGCGGCCGAUGGCAGAUUAGCUAGUUGGUGGGGUAAAGGCCUACCAAGGCGACGAUCUGUAGCUGGUCUGAGAGGACGACCAGCCACACUGGGACUGAGACACGGCCCAGACUCCUACGGGAGGCAGCAGUGGGGAAUUUUGGACAAUGGGGGAAACCCUGAUCCAGCAAUGCCGCGUGUGUGAAGAAGGCCUUCGGGUUGUAAAGCACUUUUGUCCGGAAAGAAAACUUCUGCCCUAAUACGGCGGGAGGAUGACGGUACCGGAAGAAUAAGCACCGGC
rnacentral:rRNA from 2 species